UUUAGCCGCUUGCUGGUACCCAAACGGUGUUAGCAUUUUUUGUCUUGGACAUUUGAGUAUGGCUUACGGGCAUUUAUUGGACCGAUCUGAGUGUAAGUUACGGUCGCAUGCGACACGUGCUUUUCAAUUAGUUCGGUCCAGUUAAUGCUCUCGUACUCGUUCCCCAUGUAAAAGCCGGUCAUCUAUCCGACCCGUCUUGAAACACGGACCAAGGAGUUUAUCGUGUGCGCAAGUUUUUGGGUGUUAAAAACUUAAAAGCGAAAUGAAAGUAAAUGACUCUUUAGAGUCUGAUGUGCGAUCUUGUAAAAAAGUGUAGCAUGGCCCCAUUCUAACUGUUUACAGUAGGGUGGCGGAAGAGCGUACGCGGUGAGACCCGAAAGAUGGUGAACUAUUCCUGAGCAGGACGAAGCCAGAGGAAACUCUGGUGGAAGUCCGAAGCGGUUACAAUUUUCCUCCAA
rnacentral:rRNA from 1 species